AGAGUUUGAUCCUGGCUCAGGACGAACGCUGGCGGCGUGCCUAACACAUGCAAGUCGAACGGAACUGUUUUGAAAGAUUUCUUCGGAAUGAAUUUGAUUUAGUUUAGUGGCGGACGGGUGAGUAACGCGUGAGUAACCUGCCUUCAAGAGGGGGAUAACAUUCUGAAAAGAAUGCUAAUACCGCAUGAUAUAUCGGAACCACAUGGUUCUGAUAUCAAAGAUUUUAUCGCUUGAAGAUGGACUCGCGUCCGAUUAGUUAGUUGGUGAGGUAACGGCUCACCAAGACCGCGAUCGGUAGCCGGACUGAGAGGUUGAACGGCCACAUUGGGACUGAGACACGGCCCAGACUCCUACGGGAGGCAGCAGUGGGGGAUAUUGCGCAAUGGGGGCAACCCUGACGCAGCAACGCCGCGUGAAGGAUGAAGGUUUUCGGAUUGUAAACUUCUUUUAUUAAGGACGAAAAAUGACGGUACUUAAUGAAUAAGCUCCGGCUAACUACGUGCCAGCAGCCGCGGUAAUACGUAGGGAGCAAGCGUUGUCCGGAUUUACUGGGUGUAAAGGGUGCGUAGGCGGCUUUGCAAGUCAGAUGUGAAAUCUAUGGGCUCAACCCAUAAACUGCAUUUGAAACUGUAGAGCUUGAGUGAAGUAGAGGCAGGCGGAAUUCCCCGUGUAGCGGUGAAAUGCGUAGAGAUGGGGAGGAACACCAGUGGCGAAGGCGGCCUGCUGGGCUUUAACUGACGCUGAGGCACGAAAGCGUGGGUAGCAAACAGGAUUAGAUACCCUGGUAGUCCACGCUGUAAACGAUGAUUACUAGGU
rnacentral:rRNA from 1 species